rfam:Eubacterium sp. CAG:252 genomic scaffold, scf33
UGAUGCCAAGGGUCGAAAGUUACAAAAAGGCGUUCAUGCUUGCAUGAUAAGACUUUUUGUAAUUUGCGACCCGCUAAAACAUGAGGAAGGAGCGAUUUACGCAGUAAAUCUGCGUAUUCCGAAUGUUUUCAGAAUUGCGGGAGCUGCCUCGCAGCGGAGCAAUUCGUUGGCAUCU